CCUACGGGUGGCAGCAGUGAGGAAUAUUGGUCAAUGGGCGGGAGCCUGAACCAGCCAAGCCGCGUGAGGGAAGAAGGUCCAGCGUAUCGUAAACCUCUUUUGUCAGGGAACAAAGGCGGGCACUCGUCCCCUUCUGAGGGUACCCGAAGAACAAGCAUCGGCUAACUCCGUGCCAGCAGCCGCGGUAAUACGGAGGAUGCGAGCGUUAUCCGGAUUUAUUGGGUUUAAAGGGUGCGCAGGCGGCCUGUCAAGUCAGCGGUAAAAGCCCGGGGCUCAACCCCGGCGAGCCGUUGAAACUGGCGGGCUGGAGUGGGAGAGAAGUAAGCGGAAUGCGCGGUGUAGCGGUGAAAUGCUUAGAUAUCGCGCAGAACCCCGAUUGCGAAGGCAGCGUACCGGAGCCAAACUGACGCUGAGGCACGAAAGCGUGGGUAUCGAACAGGAUUAGAUACCCGUGUAGUC
rnacentral:rRNA from 1 species